UACGUAGGGACCAAGCGUUGUUCGGAUUUACUGGGCGUAAAGGGCGCGUAGGCGGCGAAUCAAGUCAGCUGUGAAAUCUCCGAGCUUAACUCGGAACGGUCAGCUGAUACUGUUUUGCUAGAGUGCAGAAAGGGCAACCGGAAUUCUUGGUGUAGCGGUGAAAUGCGUAGAUAUCAAGAGGAACACCUGAGGCGAAGGCGGGUUGCUAGGCUGACACUGACGCUGAGGCGCGACAGCGUGGGGAGCAAACAGG
rnacentral:rRNA from 1 species